UCUCAGUCUCUCUUCUCUACUUCUUCACACAGUUUUCUCUUCUUCAUUUCUUCAGUCUCCACUCUCUACUUUCAUCUCUCUCACAUACUCUAGAUAUGUGUUUGAAUCUGUGUAAUAAUCAUCUACCAAACUCAAACCUUAUCCCCAAAUCACAGAAAGGAGAUACACAGCGACUUUGCCCUUUGCAGUUUCCCUCUCCACCAUUUUUAGUCACUCUUAAACAAUCUUUUAUAUUCUCACACUUACUUACCAUUUUAAUUUUUGGAACCCAAACCCUAAACCCCAAAUUUUUGUUAAAGUUCAUUUAAAGUUGCUAAUACAAUGAAUCUCACAUGACAGGGCAUGCUUAUCACUUGAAUACUCAAAAAGGUUGAAAGAUAAUAAUAAUAAAAGUUUUCAUGGAUGAUAUAAUAAUGAAGAACCAAUGAAUUCUUGAAACAUCCUAGAGAUCCCUCCAUUGACAACAACAAUACUGCAGGGAUUAAAGUAAAAAUCCAUACCAUGAGCAAAAAUGUAUACCAAGAGUUUGUCUAAUAUUUACUAUGAUUGUAAAUAUGCUAAGUUUCUAUUUGUUAAUAUCAUAGAAAUAUUAUGUAAGGGUUUGAUAUAUUAAGUUUCUAUCUUUUUCUCCAUAGAACUUAUGAACAGGUAGAAGCAAGGAAGGGGUUUUACUUAGAGCAAUUAACAAGAUCAUUUAAAUUAUCUUUUUCUACAUGGAACUUAUGAACAGGUAGAAGUAAGGAAGGAGUUCCACUUAGAGCAAUGAACAAGAUCAUUUAAAUUUUUUAAGAUCUUAGUAUUUGUGUUUAUGUGAUUUUUAAUUUUUUUUGAAGGACUUGAAAGGACUGCAUUUUAUUGAUUUAUUGUGUUAUAGUUUUUUAUUUGUCUUCAUGCUGAAUCUGUUUCUGUUUGGUGUAUCUUACUAUUAAGUGAUUAAAGUCAUUAAGUUA